rnacentral:rRNA from 1 species
GACGAACGCUGGCGGCGUGCUUAACACAUGCAAGUCGAACGGAAAGGCCCUGCUUUUGUGGGGUGCUCGAGUGGCGAACGGGUGAGUAACACGUGAGUAACCUGCCCUUGACUUUGGGAUAACUUCAGGAAACUGGGGCUAAUACCGGAUAGGAGCUCCUGCUGCAUGGUGGGGGUUGGAAAGUUUCGGCGGUUGGGGAUGGACUCGCGGCUUAUCAGCUUGUUGGUGGGGUAGUGGCUUACCAAGGCUUUGACGGGUAGCCGGCCUGAGAGGGUGACCGGCCACAUUGGGACUGAGAUAAGGCCCAGCCUCCUACGGGAGGCAGCAGUGGGGAAUAUUGCACAAUGGGCGGAAGCCUGAUGCAGCAACGCCGCGUGCGGGAUGACGGCCUUCGGGUUGUAAACCGCUUUCGCCUGUGACGAAGCGUGAGUGACGGUAAUGGGUAAAGAAGCACCGGCUAACUCCGUG